AACGCGAAGAAACUUACCUGGGUUUGACAUAUACCGGAAAGCCGUAGAGAUACGGCCCCCCUUGUGGUCGGUAUACAGGUGGUGCAUGGCUGUCGUCAGCUCGUGUCGUGAGAUGUUGGGUUAAGUCCCGCAACGAGCGCAACCCUUGUCCUGUGUUGCCAGCGCGUAAUGGCGGGGACUCGCAGGAGACUGCCGGGGUCAACUCGGAGGAAGGUGGGGACGACGUCAAGUCAUCAUGCCCCUUAUGUCCAGGGCUUCACACAUGCUACAAUGGCCGGUACAGAGGGCUGCGAUACCGUGAGGUGGAGCGAAUCCCUUAAAGCCGGUCUCAGUUCGGAUCGGGGUCUGCAACUCGACCCCGUGAAGUCGGAGUCGCUAGUAAUCGCAGAUCAGCAACG
rnacentral:rRNA from 1 species